CUACUCCAUUUUCAGAGUUCUGUUUUUGUUGAAUUGGGUAUCAAAUGGGUCGUUCAACUUGGAAGUAUCAAGUCUUCUUUUUGUUCUCCUUGAUCUUGCACUCUCAAGUUCCCUUUCCAUCAUCUCUCUCUUUUUCCUUGUCUUCAAUGCCACCAUGCUCUGCUCUACUCCAUUUUAGUAAAUCUUUUUCUCUUGACCAACAUGCUUCUGACGCACAAACUUCUUAUCCAAAAACAGCCAGUUGGCGUGAGGAUAAGCACUGUUGCAGUUGGGAUGGGGUCGAGUGUGACAAAAACACAAGCCAUGUGGUUGGCCUGGACCUUAGUUCCAGCUGGCUUAUGGGCCACAUUCAUUCCAACAGUACCCUGUUUUUUCUUCCCAAUCUCAGAAGGUUGAACCUCGCUGACAAUUGGUUCAAUCUCUCCCUAAUUCCUUCUGAGUUUGGCAACUUUAAGAGUUUGACUCAUCUUAACCUUUCUCUUUCCGUAUUUGCUGGCCAAAUCCCGUUUGAAAUCUCUCAGUUGUCUUCACUGGUUUCACUUGAUCUUUCUGAGAAUGAGCUAUUAAUCGAAGCUCCAGUAUGGAAAAGAGUCAUUGGUAACCUAACUCAGUUAAGGGAACUUAUUCUGGAUUUCACAAAUAUGUCCUCAAUAAGACCUAAUUCUUCGAUGAAUUUAUCCUCCUCUUUGACAACUCUUAGUCUCCGUUACUGUGACUUGCGGGGAAAACUCGAAAGUAACAUCCUCUGCCUUCCCAACAUACAAACCUUUGAUUUGUCACAUAAUAGUUUUAGCGGUCUAUUGCCGUCAUCACUAUUUAACUUGCCGAAUCUCUCAACUUUAGGCCUUGGGAACAAUCAACUUGUUGGUCCCCUUCCUAGUCACGUAAGUGGUUUGAAUCUAAGAGUUCUCUUUUUAAGUUCAAAUUUCCUAAAUGGAACAUUGCCAACUUGGUUAUUCAGUUUGCCAUCUUUGGAGGUUUUAUAUCUUGGUGAAAAUCAAUUCGUUGGUGAGAUUGGUGAAUUCAAGUACAAUUCAUUGAUGUAUCUUAAUUUGGGUUAUAAUAAGCUACAUGGCUCUAUACUUAGGUUAGUAUCUAGACUUGUGAAUCUUACUGAGCUAUAUCUCUCAUCAAAUAACUUGAGUAUUAUGUUGGGGUCUGAAAUGUUUUCAAAGCUCAAAAAUCUUGAGACUCUUGAUUUGUCAAAUAACUCAGUUAGCAUCAAUAAUAAUGCUGCCCAUGCCCUGCCCAAUCUUCAAUAUUUGUACUUGGCUUACUCCAAUAUUAGUGAAUUCCCAAUUUUCUUAAGACUGACAACAAAUUUACAAUUAUUAGACCUUUCCAAUAACCAAAUUUAUGGUCGAGUUCCAAGAUGGUUGGGGGAUGUGGGGAAUAAUUCAUUAUUUUAUGUUGAUCUUCGUAACAACUUGCUACAAGGACCAUUUCCCAUUCUAAAUUCUUCCAAUCUGCAACUUAUCUUUUUCUCCAAUAACAAUUUAAUGGGAGAAAUCCCUUCUUUAAUUUGCGAUGCAAUUUACCUUCAAGUUUUAGACUUGUCUCAUAACAACUUAAGUGGCACGAUUCCUAAAUGUUUGGUAAACUCUACUACCCUCUCAGUGUUGGAUUUGCGAAUGAAUAGCAUUCAUGGUAACAUCCCUGCAAUAUUUGCCAAAGGAAAUAAUUUUAGGCAUAUUAACCUUAAUGGCAAUCAAUUGGAAGGGCCAUUGCCUCAAUCUUUGGUCAAUUGUAUAGACUUGGAAGUUCUAGAUCUUGGAAACAAUAAAAUAAAUGGAGCCUUCCCUUAUUGGUUGGGAGGUCUUCAGAAAUUGCAAGUUCUUGUCAUAAGAUCAAACAGAUUUCAAGGUCGUAUAGGCAAUCCUAAAACCAAAUUUCUUUUCCCAAAUUUGCAAAUCAUAGACAUCUCUAACAAUCAGUUUAAUGGUCCUUUGCCAAUAACAUAUUUUGAAUAUUUGAAAGCCAUGAUGAAUGUGGAUGAAAGUGGAGUUGCAUCGAAAUAUAUGGGAGAAAAUUAUUAUCAAGAUUCAUUGAAUAUCAUGGUGAAAGGGCAGUAUAUUGCGAUGGAGAGAGUCCUAACCAUCUUAACAAGCAUUGAUUUUUCAAACAAUAGUUUCAGAGGAGAGAUGCCAAAGAUAAUUGGAAGGCUUAAAUCACUCAAGGGGCUUAACUUUUCUCACAAUAACCUUAUAGGUCAUAUUCCACCAUCAAUUGGAAAUUUGACCAAUCUUGAAUGGUUAGACCUCUCUUUCAACAAGCUCAAUGGGGAGAUUCCUAGUCAAUUGGCAAAUCUAACGUCACUUGAAGUCUUAAAGCUAUCACAUAACCAACUCACAGGACACAUACCUUUAGGAAAUCAAUUCAAUACAUUCAACAAUGAUUCGUACACCGAAAACUUGGGAUUGUGUGGGUUUCCAUUGUCAAGAACAUGCGACAACCACGAGGCAAAGCAACCACCACCACCUACCUUGCAACAAGAUGAAAAUUUAGGGCAUGAAAAUGGGUUUUGUUGGCAAGCUAUAUCCAUAGGAUACGCAUGUGGAGCAAUAUUCGGAAUGUUUAUGGGAUAUCUUAUGUUCAAAAUUGGAAAACCAAAGUGCCUUGUGAGGAUGGUCAAAUUAGAGAAGCAUAUCAUGCCCAGAAGAUUGAAGAAGAAUGCCCACAAGCGUGGUGGAAGAAGAUAACUGCUUCUAUGUUAAUUGUGAUAGUUGGUGUUGGAGGCCCAAAAUUUCCUCCAUCUUGGAUGGGAGGAACAUAUUACUACCACAUCUUGAAGCAGAGUUUGGGUGCAGAUUCACACUACCUUCUAGGAAGAUUUCAUGUUAAAUAAGAAGUGAAAAGAAAAUUGUACUUGAGUCAAGCCUGUGUACUGGGGAAGCAAUUUUCUUGAUUUUAAAUGAAAAUGUUUAUUCCUCCAAAAAAAAGGGGGGGGGGGGAUUAUCUGUUCUCAUAGAAGCUAAAUGGCUGGUAGUAAAUGGGAACUCAAUUCAUAUUAACCAUGACUUUUGGCUUAUUGUAAUAACUGAUGUUCUUUUCUCUUUCUAUGAUUCAAAAGAUGAAUCCUUCUUGUCCUUUAUUAGAAUAAGCUCCAUCCUUUAGGUUUUUUUUUUUUUUUUUUAAUCUUUUUAUUUUAUUUUAUUUUAUAAUUGUGUUAAAUAGAUAUCUAUAGUUUUUAUUAUUAGGUACAAUGUCCAAUUUCCACUAAAAAGACAAAGUAACAUUUGAUUUUUUUUACUUUAAGUUUCAUUCUAAAUACAGACUAUCAGCUCUGUGCCGGUGUGGCAUGUGUAUCUAGUAUGAAAAAAAAUACCUAUCAUGUAUUCUCACCUCCUUGCAUAUAACACACCUCAUGCUCUUUUAAUUUAGUUCCAAUAUAAUUUUGAAAGGAGUUCGUGCCCUUAACAUGCAAGGAAUUGCAAUGUCUUAGAUCUUCACUGCUAUGUCUUAGCCUGCUCAAAUUUAUUGAUAACUUUAUGCAUUAUCUGACAUAUGAGGUUGCUAUUUCCUAUCCUCUAGCAAAAUUUGUUUUCCACUCUUUAUGAAGAUAUUUCCAUAUUGCUAAGGCUUUUUAAUGGGACCCUUUGUCUCAUAGAAUGAUUUCUUUUCUACAUAUAUUGUUGUUUAUCAACAAAGCUCAAGGGCUACUCUAGUUUUCUUUUAAAAGAAAGUAGGGGAAAGAUGUUGGAUGGAGAGAUCUAAUUGAAAAGUUGAGAACAAUGAACAAGAAAAAUGUGAGAAAACUCCUAAUCAACAUGUUGAGCCCAAGAAAACUUGUGAAGAUUCAACUCAAUGGGUUUUCUUUCUAUGAGUUCUCUUUGGGGUUUAUUCUUAGUAGCUAGUUUUUUCAAAUGUAGUAAUUGAUGUGCCUACAGUAUGCCACAACAGCUCAAUUUUUUAUAUCGUCUUCCAUUGACAUUCUUAAACUAGAUGAAUCUUUGGUUGGUUUAAUUGGGAACUCAAGAAGUCCAUCAAGGGUACUUAAUUAGCUCCAGAAUUCUACAGUCUUGAUUCCAUUCUAUAAGUGACACAUACACCUCUCUCUCUCUCUCUCUAUUUGUGUCUCUCUUUAAUCUUUCGCACUUUUUGCAUCAAAUUCAAGAGAUAAUUCAAUGCUAAGCUUUAGAGCUAGGAGGCAAGGUUGAGUAGAGUUGCAAAAGAGAGCCAUACUUGAUUCAUCUUUGCACAGUGAGGUUGGAAAAGACAAAUAAUUGAGUUUUUUUCUAAUGAACAAUAAAUGAAUAUGUUCAUGUAAAAUAAGAUUGGAGGACAAAGAUUUGUCUGAAUUAUAUUUUUUGUGUAUAGAACUUUUACAUUGGUCUGAAUAUAUACAUGUUGUUACAAUGAACCUAGACAAAAAUAUUGACAGCCUAAUCCCAUAAUUGCAGCUAGACAGAAUAGUAACAGCUACCAAAUCCCAUAAUUAUAGCUGAUUGGAAACCCCUUAAUUGUGCUGGUUGGGAAUCCCUUAAUUGUCUCUAAUACUCCCCCUCAAGGUGGAGCAUGUACAUGACUAACGCCCAACUUGCUGAUAAGACAAUGAAAAGAAUCCUUACCCAAAGGUUUGGUAAAAAUGUCAGCAAUUUGGUCAUGGGAUCGAAUAUGACAAGGUUGAACCAAUUUGGAUUGGAAACCCCUUAAUUAAGUUGAUUGGGAAUCCCUUAACUAUCUCUUAUAGUUCAACACACCAUAUGUGUUGGGUUUGUGAUUUGAAUAUUGUUGUUCACUUGUUUGUAUCUAGGAUAUGUGAUUCCUUAAAUAUCCUUAACAAACAUGAAAAUCUUGUGAGUUUGUAUAGAUUUUUAUUAUUGUUGUGGUACUAGGUAUUAUAGUCCCUAAUAAUGUUAUGGGUAUAAACCAAUGGUUCUAAUGAGUUUGCUUUUCAAUGUUCCUAUCUUCAUUACAUCAAGUAAAUGUUGGAUUGCUGAAAUUUCUAAUAGGUACUGAAUUUCUAGUUUGGUAUGAAAAAAUAAAUAAAAUGUACAAGAUGGGAUGUGCUCAAUAGGAAUUGGAAGCUCCAGUAAAAUUGUAGUGGAGAUGGUUUGGUGCUCAAUUUGGAAAGCAAAGGUCCCUAAUAAAGUUAAGAUGUUUGCAUGGAGAGCAUGUCAUAACAUUCUACCUGCAUGUGCCAAUCUACUGAACAGAAGGGUUCUAAUGUAGCCAUGAUGUCCAAGCUGCAAAUUAAAUGAGGAUGACAUGAUGCAUGAAUUAUGGAAUUGUGAAGAGAGAAUUUGGUGCUGCAGAAAAGAGGUAAUUAGAGCAUGAAUUCCUAGACUUUGUUAGAAUAUUUUGGCCUAUAUUGGAGAAGGCUGUGACAACACUGUGGAGCAAUCCCUGAUACUGUCCUGGAUGAUUUGGAAGGCAAGGAAUAAGUGGGUCUUUGAGCAGUCUACAAAACAGCCAAGUGUCAUAGCAGGUGAGGCUAUGGAAUUUUGGCAGGAAUUUCAAGCAAUCUGCAACUCAGGUAGUUCAACAACUCAAGCUGUAACAGGCUAGCGUAUUAAUCUGACACUGCAUUGGAAUCCUCCCUGUAAACCUAUGUACAAGGAAUAUUUUGAUGGUGCAGUUUUUGAGGAUUUACGUAGAACAGGAGAGGGAGUCAUAAUCCGGAAUGAACAAGGAUUGCUCAUUGCAGCAAUGAGCCGAAAAGGAAGACCAGUUAUGGAGAGCUUUGUGGUGGAACUUGAGGCUGCAGUCCAAACCAUUCGGUUUGCUCGUGAUGUUGGCAUACAGAGGGGACGAGUUUUAGUGGGGGAUUAUAUAUAGCAAAACUUCAGGAACACGAAAACUAUGAGUUUUGGUGGGCUAACGUUGUGAAGGAAGCUAAAUUUCAUCUGAAACGUUAACAUGUUCAACAAUGGGAAGUUAGUUUUACUAGAUACUCAUUUUGGCAAGAUGUGAACAUAAUAUUGAAGAUUAUGUAACUUGGAUAGAAGAGGUCCCAUUUUUUUUUUUUGAAUGGUUGAACAAUGAUGUACUGGGUUUGAAUGUUUCAACAUGCAACUUGAUUGGUUUUCCAAGGAAAAAAUGGAAGCAUAAAUGGAAGCAUAUCACAUUAAUUCUA